rnacentral:rRNA from 1 species
UAGCAUAUCAAUAAGCGGAGGAAAAGAAACCAACUGGGAUUGCCUUAGUAACGGCGAGUGAAGCGGCAAUAGCUCAAAUUUGAAAGCUGGCCCCUUCGGGGUCCGCGUUGUAAUUUGUAGAGGAUGAUUCGGCGAGGGCUCCCGUCUAAGUCCCCUGGAACGGGGCGUCACAGAGGGUGAGAAUCCCGUAUGUGAUGGGUUGCCUUAGCCAUGUGAAUCUCCUUCGACGAGUCGAGUUGUUUGGGAAUGCAGCUCUAAAUGGGAGGUAAAUUUCUUCUAAAGCUAAAUACCGGCCAGAGACCGAUAGCGCACAAGUAGAGUGAUCGAAAGAUGAAAAGCACUUUGGAAAGAGAGUUAAAAAGUACGUGAAAUUGUUGAAAGGGAAGCGCUUGCAGCCAGACUUGUCCGCAGUUGCUCAGCCGGUCUCCUGACCGGCGUACUCUUCUGCGGCCAGGCCAGCAUCAGUUCGGGCGGUCGGAUAAAGACCUCGGGAAUGUAGCUCCUCUCGGGGAGUGUUAUAGCCCGGGGUGGAAUGCGGCCAGCCUGGACUGAGGAUCUCGCUUCGGCUAGGAUGCUGGCGUAAUGGCUGUAAGCGGCCCGUCUUGAAACACGGACCAAGGAGUCUAACAUCUAUGCGAGUGUUUGGGUGUCAAACCCAUACGCGUAAUGAAAGUGAACGGAGGUGGGAACCCUCACGGGUGCACCAUCGACCGAUCCUGAUGUCUUCGGAUGGAUUUGAGUAAGAGCAUAGCUGUUGGGACCCGAAAGAUGGUGAACUAUGCCUGAAUAGGGUGAAGCCAGAGGAAACUCUGGUGGAGGCUCGCAGCGGUUCUGACGUGCAAAUCGAUCGUCAAAUUUGGGUAUAGGGGCGAAAGACUAAUCGAACCAUCUAGUAGCUGGUUCCUGC